GCCGCGGUAGCUCAAUUAGUAGAGCAUCGCACUCGAAAUGCGAAGGUUGUGGGUUCGGUUCCCACCUGCGGCA
rnacentral:tRNA from 1 species